GACGAACGCUGGCGGCGUGCUUAACACAUGCAAGUCGAACGGAAAGGCCUGCUUUGCCUUGUGGAUUGCGGGCGAACGGGUGGCGAACGGGUGGGUAAUCUGCGAGUCAUCUGCCCCCAACCCUGGUAUAAGCGUGGGAAACCGGGUCUAAUUCCCGUUAGGACUGCAGGGUGGUGCCGGUUGUGGGAUAUGAGUUUAUAGCGGUGGGGGUUGGGCUCGCGGGCUAUUAGCUUGUUGGUGGGGUAAUGGCCUACGGAGGCGGCGACGGGGAGCCGGGCUGGGAGGGUGGCCGGAGACAUUGGAACUGCGAAACGGCCCUGACACCUACGGGAGGCAGCAGUGGGGAAUAUUGGACGAGAGGCGGGAGCCUGAUGCAGCGGCGCGGCGUGGGGGCUGCCGGCGUUCGGGUAGUGAACUCCUUUCGAACGCGAGGAAGCCACCUGGUUGGAAGGGUGGUGACGGUAGUGGUAGAAGAAGCACCGGCUAACUACGUG
rnacentral:rRNA from 1 species